rnacentral:rRNA from 1 species
AUUGAACGCUGGCGGAAUGCUUUACACAUGCAAGUCGAACGGUAGAGGGGGCAACCCCUCGAGAGUGGCGAACGGGUGAGUAAUAUAUCGGAACGUGCCCAGUCGUGGGGGAUAACGUAGCGAAAGUUACGCUAAUACCGCAUACGAUCUAAGGAUGAAAGCGGGGGAUCGCAAGACCUCGCGCGAUUGGAGCGGCCGAUAUCAGAUGAGGUAGUUGGUGGGGUAAAGGCUCACCAAGCCAACGAUCUGUAGCUGGUCUGAGAGGACGACCAGCCAAACUGGAACUGAGACACGGUCCAGACUGCUACGGGAGGCAGCAGUGGGGAAUUUUGGACAAUGGACGCAAGUCUGAUCCAGCCAUUCCGCGUGCAGGAUGAAGGCCCUCGGGUUGUAAACUGCCUUUGUACGGAACGAAAAGGUCUCUCUUAAUACGGGGGGCUCAUGACGGUACCGUAAGAAUAAGCACCGGCUAACUACGUGCCAGCCGCCGCGGUAA